CAAGCUCCAAGCAGCAGCAAUAAGCAAAAAGUACGGCAAAAGCUCCGUAAGCCCACAGCAAGAAUUGUGUGUUGUGAAAAAAAUGCACACUCAAUUGUCCUAAAAAUAGGGGUCAAUUACUUCCUAAUGCUAUAAGGGAAAUACAUACCCAAAUAGCAAAAGAAAAAUCAAAACAAGGAAGCACAUUCAACCCAAAAAAACAAAUAAGCAAAUUCCAAAACAAUGACAAGUUUUAGCCAAUCUGCGCAAGCUGGACGUUUUUUGGUGAUAAUUCAAUUUUCCAGAGGAGUUUUGGAUGCAAGGCCAAUUGGAGAAGGAAGCUAAGUGGCUGAGGAUCAUUGUAUCCAAAUUUCAUAAUUU
rnacentral:lncRNA from 1 species